rnacentral:sRNA from 1 species
GUUUGCACUUGUCGGGGAAGGGUGAGAACCUUCGAUUAAGGUUCGACUCGAGCGAAAGCGAGAGAACGUUGCCAACGGC